GCCCGCGGUGGCUCAGAUGGAUAGAGCGUCUGCCAUGUAAGCAGGACAACCCGGGUUCGAGUCCCGGUCGGGGCA
rnacentral:tRNA from 1 species